rfam:Triticum urartu cultivar G1812 contig227515, whole genome shotgun sequence.
UAUGUACUUUCUUCGUCUGAAAAAGUUUGUUUCUUAAAUGGAUGUAUUUAGCACCAAGUUAGUGUUAGAUACAUUCAUUCGAGAAACAAGUUUGAGAUAAGUUUUUUCAGACGAAAAGAGUAGUAC